rnacentral:sRNA from 1 species
GCUAGGUGCAGUGGCAAGUGUCUGUGAUCCCAACUACCUGGGAGGCUGAGUUACGAGGAUCACUUGAGCCAAAGAGUUUGAGGCUAACCUUGGCAAAUAUAGUGAGACUCCAUCACAA